rnacentral:lncRNA from 1 species
CUCAGAUUAUGAUUGGUGUGAAAUGCAUCUUUUAUGGGAUAAUUGGAUUUCUUCUUCUUGAUUCUGAAACGUACAGAAUCAUUUUCUUCUCGAUUUACACAGGCUUCCCUAUAUGGGGGGCAUUGUCUUUUAUCAUCUCUGGAUCUCUGACUGUUGCGUCUGCCAAGAAGCAAACAAAAUCACUGCUGAGAGGGAAUCUAGGCGCCAACACUCUCAGCACCUUCAUCUCGAUUGCUGGGAUCUGUAUUUUGUCGUACAAUUUAACAAAAAAUAUCCACCAUGAUUGCGAGAAGGAACCUCUCUGUUUGGGCAUCAAAUCAAUUGCAACUAUUUAUGUAUUGCUUUGCUGGAAAUCACCUUCUGAAGGUCUUUAUCAAGACUUGUUGCCUCAAACUAUAAUAUAUCAAGAACUUGAACGCAAAGAAGAUACACCUUCACGUUAUCCCACAGAUACUAACAAACAAAUAUGAGUCUGCACCUCUGUAUUUUGGAUCCACAGUGAUAGCAAGAAGCUCAUACUGUGGCCACUGAGGCAUGAAUACACACCUGUGAAGAUACAUAAGCAUAGAGUUCAGGGUCACAAAGAGAGCAACUAGCAUUUAUAACAUUGAGAUUUUGGUUGUUGCCACUUUUUUUGUUAGGGUUGGAUGUCAUCACAGACUAGGUUUAUGCUCUGUUACAAAACUUAACCUUGAAAUAUUGGUGGCUUAACACAUCAGAAGUUCAUUUGCUAUCUACUUUACAUGUUCUUUACUUCACUUUAGAUGCACACUGAUAUGAGUUCUACCAAAUAGAACAAUAUCUCAAAAAGUUUUUUUUUUUUAAUUUUCUCAAGAUAGGGAAAGAAAAUGUUAGAAGUUGGACCUUUAGCAAUUAGUUGUUCUAGAAAAAGCAAGUGUCACUUUUUGCCACAAUCCUUUAAACAGUCAUCUUCCCAGCACUGUGUGGGAGACAGGAAAUGUAGGCUGACAUCAAGUUAAGAAGCUUAAUUUUUGAUGAAAACCACUGAAGUAAACAUAGAGUUUCCUGAAGUAAUUGUGAAAAUUGUUUGCAUGAAGUCUUUGGUCCAUCAUUUUUACACUCUGUGACUUUGGAUGUGCAUCUUCCCUGACUAAAGAUCAGUUUGCUUAUCUCUCAAAUGGUCUAGCUUGUGCUUACUCAGUUCAGAUUGGGAUAUCUAUCAAGGAAAACAGUUAAUAUAGGUUUAAAAAAAAAUCCCAAACUUUUAACUAUAUGAGGUACUAUAGAUUAUAAUAUUUUAUUAAUAUCAUGUUAGGUUAAUUAUUUAUACUGCAUCAUUCUAAGUACAUUAAGGUUUUCUGAUGAUAUUUUAUGUAAAUAGUCAUAUAUAAAAACUUGUGUUGUUUAAUUGACCCACUGACAAUUAAUCAAAGCAUUACCCCAUUCCUCUUGAAUAAUACAACCAAAACUUUUCAAAGUCUAAUAAAAUUAAUACUAUUUCCCA